GUUUCAUAGUUUAGGGUUUGUUCGGUUUGUUUUUGGCUACUUUUUUCUGAUGUGUGGAGACAAACGUAAUUUUCACCUAAACGUAUUCCUUCUUUUAUUCUCUGUUUCUGGUUCUUCUCAGGUUCUGAUAUGCCUAAAUGAACUGAUUAGUAUCCAAGCUCAAAUAAUGAUGGAUUUUACAUCUUCAGAAGUGAUGUGCGAGGUUGCCAAUUUAACAAAGGAAUUUACUUUUAGUCAUUCUUGUUCGUUUUAGUUAACCUCACUUGUAACAGGAAUUCAUUCAUAAUAGACCACGUAUGGAAACAUCCCAAUAUAUGUAUGUAUUUAGUUAACAAGAAUGUGCUCAGACAAAGACUCUUACUGUGAAGUUCUGGUUGCAUUGGUAAGGUUGCUAUCCAAUUUGAGCGCGAUUGCGACCAUCGAUAUCAAGGUUUUGAAGCAAAGAUCGUUUAAGGGAGGGGCUAAGUUAGGGCACUACAUUUCAUACAGCCUCAUUUAUGAAAGCUAAUGCAUUGAAGUGAAAGUGAGCGCCCCCCAUCUUUCGGACUGUGUGCACUUCCGCCCGAUCCUCUGGACACGGAACCACAGCUCGCUUUUCCCUCCACACGACCUUUCAGAUCCCUCCUCACAUCCAUCUAUCUCUCUAUCCUUUAUAGCGACCCAACGACACUUUUAAGAGCCACUCGUCUGUCUGUCUAUCCAUACAUCCGUUUAUAAUCUGAUUAUAGAUAAUCAAUUUGUCUAUCUACCUAUCUGUUUGUCUAUCUAUAUAUCUAUCUGUCUAUCUCUCUAUCUACUUACCUACCUACCUCUCUGUCGUUCUACCUUUUUGGCUUUCUUUCUGGCUGUUCAUCUGUCUGUCUGGCUGACUGGAUACCAUGCCAGGUUCAACCCAAAAGACCUGCCAGUCAUGCAAGGCACAAAUAAAUGUUGGCUGUAAACACUGCAAGCUGUGUGGGGCUUCUCAGCCCCAGAAAGUGAAAUUGCAGCAGGCCAAAGACAAAGCAUCAAAGGAAUGGGCCCAAAAAAUGUUGAAUGGAAGAAACACCUCAAAGCUGAUAAAUUCCACCAAUCUUCUACUCCACAAGUUUCACAUGUUGGGUUAUUACCCCCUUCUUCUUCUUGGGAGGAGGAAGACGAGGCAGGCCACAAAUUUUAGGGCAGAUGUUUUUUAUCCUCAGCAGUUUUCUUCAGAAAUGGAGAGGACAUCAAUUUCUACAAUUCGUUUGCUGUAUGAAGGUCUUCUAAAAGUGGCUCUUAAUCCAGAAGCCAACCCCAACUCUUCAAAUGCUCCUGAGACCAACACCAGCUCUGCCCAUACUCCUGAGACCAACACCAGCUUUUCACAUGCUCCUGAGACCAACUUCAGCUGUUCAGAUGGUCCUACAGAGAACCCCAGCUCUUCAGUUGCUCCCCUUCAUACUGAACCUACAUACACCUUAAUUCUUACUCCUGUUACAUCUGAAAAGGAAAAUUCCACAGUGGUUCUUAAUCUGGAAGUCAACCCCAGCUCUUCAGAUGAUCCUGAGACCAGCCCCAUCUGUUCAGAUGCUCCUGAGACCAGCCCCUUCUCUUCAGAUGGUCCUGAGGCUAGCCCCAGCUUUUCAGCUCCUCCUGAGCCCCGCAGCAGCUCUUUAGAUGAACUCAAUCCAAUUCUCUCCCCUGUUACAUCUGGAAAUGGGAAUUCCACAGACAAGUACCCCUGCAAGAAAAGAACACAAGAAGUAACACCAAAUGUGUCCAGCUCGACAUUUAAUCGUACUUUUCCCUGCAAGAAAAGAAGAAUAAAGAUCAACCCAAGUGAAUGCCCUGUCCACACUAUGGCUGACACCUACCCAGUCCAAAAAAUUUUAUCACAGAGGGUAUCAAAAGAGGGCACAAAAGAGGUCAAAGUCCGUUGGCAGCAGUGUUCUGGGUGUGGCAUCAAGUGGAAAGACACAUGGGAGCCUUUCAACGAGAUAUUCCCGUAGUAAUGAUUUGAAAUAAUACUCUAAAUUAUUCAUUUUGGAAUUUUGAUGUUUAGCAUAACUAUUUCUAGGUG
ensembl:lncRNA